rfam:Cellulomonas sp. Leaf395 contig_3, whole genome shotgun sequence.
UGUCCCGGUCGCGACUGGCGCAGCAGGUGGGUCACCACCGGGGAGCGACGCAGCAGCAGACCAACGGGUCGGACGCCUGGGCCCCCGGU